UACAACUUUCAGCAACGGAUCUCUUGGCUCUCGCAUCGAUGAAGAACGCAGCGAAAU
rnacentral:rRNA from 1 species